UACGUAGGGGGCAAGCGUUGUCCGGAAUCAUUGGGCGUAAAGAGCGUGUAGGCGGUUCGGUAAGUCGGCUGUGAAAGUCCAGGGCUCAACCCUGGGAUGCCGGUCGAUACUGCCGGACUAGAGUGCGGAAGAGGCGAGUGGAAUUCCUGGUGUAGCGGUGAAAUGCGCAGAUACCAGGAGGAACACCAAUUGCGAAGGCAGCUCUCUGGGACGGUACUGACGCUGAGACGCGAAAGCGUGGGGAGCGAACAGG
rnacentral:rRNA from 1 species